rnacentral:lncRNA from 1 species
AAUUUCCUUGGCAUCUCUUUCCAUUUUGUUUUUCGUGCGCAUUUGGUCUCUCUCUCGCUCUCGUUCCGACUGUCGCCUCCACCACCACCGCCACCACCGCAGCCACCACCACCACCACCUUCGGCCUUCCGGUUGUCGCCUCCACCACCACCCCCGUCUUUCAAUCUGUGGAGUGAAGGUUAGUAAUUUCUUCCCCUCUCCACCCCUCUCCCUCUCUCUCAUUGAUAAAUUUAGGGUUUUUGCUCAAAGGGCUUAAAUUGGCUUAUCCUCAAAAUUAAAUGAGAUUUAUUUAAUUUUAUAUUUCAAAUCUUAUAUAGGGGUUCUUUGAUGUUUGAAUUAUAGAUUAAGUUUUUUGAAAUUAAUCGGAAAUAUAAAUCAUAAUUAUGGUGCUUUAAUUUCAGACUGAUUUUUCAAUGCAUGUCUACUAAUUAACCCGAAAGAAAUUGAAGAGAAAAUAAAGGCAUAUGUAAUUUCACAUUGGCAUAUUGUGCUUCCACAGAUGACUGCGAUUUAUUUGUUAUUUUCAAUUAUAAUUUCAUGUUGGGUGAUUAAUCUGCAUUUUGAUUUAUAUUGAUGGUGCAAAAAAACAAUUUUUUUAUUGAACUUUUAAGCAAUGGGUUGAAAUUGAGGAUUCGACAUGUUAACGUGUCCAAAGUAUCGACGAUGAAAUGUUCAACAAUGACUAUUGACAAUGGAGAAACAGAACAUAUGCAUAUUAAUGCCUUUUUAUCUAAGCCUAAACACAAAUCAAACAGAUAAUGCAUUGGAAGUAGAGGAAGUUCUGGCGAUAAUUUAUUAUCCUCAAUGGGCUUUAAUAAAAGUAAAUAAUGUUCAAAUGGUUUUGAGAGGUGUGCAGCUAAAGGGGGAUUUAGAAGCUUUGGAGAUGGAAAAAAAGCAACAACCGAUUACUGCUGGACUCGGUAUGUAAUUUAUUUACUAUAUUUUUCUGCAAUUUGAAAUUGAUUAUAAUGCAUUUCGCCAUUACUUAGGUUUACUGAGCUCAAGCACAAAGAGUAUAAUCAGUACACCAGUACACUCACCACAGAG